rnacentral:rRNA from 1 species
CGUAUCACUUAAAGCGAUUCAGCGGGUUACGAUUGACGGAGCGAAGCGACGUCAAAGCGUAUACAAAGUCGAGUCGGUUUAAGGAUACGUUCGUUGGGUAGGGGAGCGUUCUGUAAGCCUGUGAAGGUGUGUCGUGAGGCAUGCUGGAGGUAUCAGAAGUGCGAAUGCUGACAUAAGUAACGAUAAAGCGGGUGAAAAGCCCGCUCGCCGGAAGACCAAGGGUUCCUGUCCAACGUUAAUCGGGGCAGGGUGAGUCGACCCCUAAGGCGAGGCCGAAAGGCGUAGUCGAUGGGAAACGGGUUAAUAUUCCCGUACUUGGUGUUACUGCGAAGGGGGGACGGAGAAGGCUAUGUUGGCCGGGCGACGGUUGUCCCGGUUUAAGCGUGUAGGUGUGUGUUCCAGGUAAAUCCGGUUCACUUUAACACUGAGGCGUGACGACGAGGCACUACGGUGCUGAAGCAACAAAUGCCCUGCUUCCAGGAAAAGCCUCUAAGCAUCAGGUAACACGAAAU